GUAAUGGUAACACACGGGAGGUGGGUCUUGCUGUAUAUAUAGAGGUGGUCAUCAGGUUGAUAUUCAUUCCAAUAUUGUCCAAGAUCUUGUAACGUAGACAGUUCUUUCGUUCUUACGCAAAAUGAAGCUCGUGAUGAUUCUUGUUGCUCUUGUGAUGGUCUGGGCGACCGUCUCUUUGGCUAAUCCAAUGGAAGCUGAGGUGGGCGAGGCGGUUGGUGGUGAAAUCCACGAUCUGGCCGGAGACGAACACUUCUUGAAGAAAUAUUACAAACAUCGUUCCUAUCACCCAGUUCCGGUCUACCGUCCAGUUUAUCAUCCACCCCCUGUGUACUAUCCAGUUCCUGUUUACCACAAAAAAUAUCACAAGGGUUAAUCAAAUCAGAUCAGAAAAUCAUGCCAAAAGGCAAAAACUGUGCUAACAAAUAACGAGCUUUCUCCAUCCUCAUUCUCUUGUCCUCACUUCUCAAUAAUUGAUUUUUUUUUACCAACUGGUUAAGCUCAAUGCAGCUUGGUUCAUGAAUAUAUUUGUUAAAUUUUCGUUUCAAUAAAAACAAAGUUCUUUCAUA